CGAGGUUGACUUCCAGUAAUCAGGGACAAUAGUUAAAGAGCUUUGAUCGACAUAAUUCUGAGCCUUCUUUUGUAUAACGUCGCUAUUGUCAUUCAGGAAUUGAACCUGAUUUUUCACGUCGUUGUUACUUAAUUGAUUCGGUAAAAUGGCCACGAUAGGGCUGUUCACCUUGCCUUUUUCCGCUUUCGAAGGAUCAAUGACCGCCACUAUAGGCACGGCCACUUUCUUCGAUUGAUCUUCUGGUAACGUCGGUUGUACUGAUUCUUGUUCGGAGAAGGAUUGCAGAUCCAUCGUAUUCUGCUGAGGUCCAGUUUGGAUUUCCUGGAAAUUGAAGAAAGCUGUUUACAAGGAAAUUGUAAUUGGUAGUUACCGAGGAAGUUGCAAGAAGUUUUAUUGGCACGUGAUGUAUGCUUAAUUUAUAAAUAUCUGCUCAAGGCUCCAUCACGACUGUUUAACGAUGAUUAGCAGCAUACACAAAUUGUUCAAUAGUGAUGCGUGAAACGAGAUUCAUGUUUUCGAAGAGGAUCAACUUGACAUGCUUUUUCUUUGUGAACGGUCAUCUGAUCGAAUGGAAUGUGUUCAUUGAAUUAUUGUCCUUUACCUCGGGAUUUCAAUCAACAGUUGAAGAAAAGGAUGAAUUAUAAAAUUAUACCAUGUUGGGAUUACUAGCUGGCAUUAUGAAGACGUCUUUUUUAAC